rnacentral:rRNA from 1 species
GCCCUUCCUCCCAACUUAAAGUGCUUUACAAUCCGAAGACCUUCUUCACACACGCGGCAUGGCUGGAUCAGGCUUCCGCCCAUUGUCCAAUAUUCCCCACUGCUGCCUCCCGUAGGAGUCUGGACCGUGUCUCAGUUCCAGUGUGACUGAUCAUCCUCUCAGACCAGUUACGGAUCGUCGCCUUGGUAGGCCUUUACCCCACCAACUAGCUAAUCCGACCUAGGCUCAUCUGAUAGCGUGAGGUCCGAAGAUCCCCCACUUUCUCCCUCAGGACGUAUGCGGUAUUAGCGCCCGUUUCCGGACGUUAUCCCCCACUACCAGGCAGAUUCCUAGGCAUUACUCACCCGUCCGCCGCUGAAUCCAGGAGCAAGCUCCCUUCAUCCGCUCGACUUGCAUGUGUUAGGCCUGCCGCCAGCGUUCAAUCUGAGCCAGGAUCAAACUCUU